rnacentral:lncRNA from 1 species
CAAGGGGGAGGAGGGAGAAAGGAAGAAAAAAAAAACAACCCAAAACACAAAACUCGGCAAAGCCCCCAAGAGGUCGCUGGUGGAGCAGUAACGGAGACGAGAUCGAAAGGAGUGAUCGAGAGAGAGGGGGGCAAAAGAAGAGGGGAAAAAACAGCAGCAAACUUUUUUCCUAGUUGCUGGACUCUCCUCCGCUCCUCCCGCCCGGGUAAUGUGACACCAGGGCGAGAUUCGCAGGCACAAGCCCGAAAGGGUGAAGGAGAGACAGAGGAGGAGGAAGGGAGAGGAGGAGGAGAGGAAGGGGGAGGAGGAGGAAAGGAGGGAGAGGAGGAAGGGAAAGGAGGUAAAGGAGGGGGAGGAGAAAGGGAAAGGGGGAGGUGGAAGGGAAAGAAGGGAAAGGAGGAGGAAGGGAGAGGAGGAGGAAGGGCGAGGAGGAGGAAGGGAGAGGACGAGGAGGGAAAGGAGGAGGAGGAAGGGAGAGGACGAGGAGGGAAAGGAGGAGGAGGAGGGAGAGGGGGAGGGAGAGGGAGAGGAGGGGAAGGGGGAGGAGGAGGGAGGGAGAGGGAGAGGAGGAGGGAGAGGGAGAGGAGGAGGGAGAGGGAGAGGGAGAGGAGGAGGAAGGGAAAGGAGGGAGAGGGAGAGGAGGAGGGAGAGGGAGAGGAGGAGGAAGGGAAAGGAGGGAGAGGGAGAGGAGGAGGAAGGGAAAGGAGGGAGAGGGAGAGGAGGAGGGAGAGGGAGAGGAGGAGGAAGGAAGAGGAGGAGGGAGAGGAGGAGGAAGGGAAAGGAGGGAGAGGGAGAGGAGGAGGAAGGGAAAGGAGGGAGAGGGAGAGGAGGAGGAAGGGAAAGGAGGGAGAGGGGGAGGAGGAGGAAGGGAAAGGAGGGAGAGGGGGAGGAGGAGGAAGGGAAAGGAGGGAGAGGGGGAGGAGGAGGAAGGGAAAGGAGGGAGAGGAAGGGAAAGGAGGGGGAGGGAGGGAAAGGAGGGGGAGGGAGGGAAAGGAGGGGGAGGAGGAGGGAGGGAAAGGAGGGGGAGGAGGAGGGAGGGAAAGGGGGAGGAGGAGGAAGGGAAAGGAGGGAGAGGGGGAGGAGGAGGAAGGGAAAGGAGGGAGAGGGGGAGGAGGAGGAAGGGAAAGGAGGGAGAGGAGGAGGAGGAAGGGAAAGGAGGAGGAGAAGGAGAACCCCUGUCAAGGAGGUGGAGCGAGGGUGAGAGUGUCCGGCCGGUAG